AUUGAACGCUGGCGGCAGGCCUAACACAUGCAAGUCGAACGAGCGGCGGACGGGUGAGUAAUAUGUGGGAAACUGCCCGUGGGAGGGGGAGAACUACUGGAAACGGUAGCUAAUACUCCAUACCAUCUGACGUACCCCGAGGGGAUGAGGUAGUAGGUGGGGUAAUGGCCGACCUAGGCGACGAUCCCUAGCCGGUCUGAGAGGAUGAUCAGCCACACUGGAACUGAGACACGGUCCAGACUCCUACGGGAGGCAGCAGUGGGGAAUAUUGCACAAUGGGCGAAAGCCUGAUGCAGCCAUGCCGCGUGUAUGAAGAAGGCCUUCGGGUUGUAAAGUACUUUCAGUGGGGAGGCGUUACCCACAGAAGAAGCACCGGCUAACUCCGUGCCAGCCGCCGCGGUAAUAC
rnacentral:rRNA from 1 species